AUAUCAAUAAGCGGAGGAAAAGAAACCAACAGGGAUUGCCUUAGUAGCGGCGAGUGAAGCGGCAAAAGCUCAAAUUUGAAAUCUGGCUCUUUCAGAGUCCGAGUUGUAAUUUGAAGAAGGUAUCUUUGGGCCUGGCUCUUGUCUAUGUUUCUUGGAACAGAACGUCACAGAGGGUGAGAAUCCCGUGCGAUGAGAUGACCCAGGUCCGUGUAAAGUUCCUUCGACGAGUCGAGUUGUUUGGGAAUGCAGCUCUAAGUGGGUGGUAAAUUCCAUCUAAAGCUAAAUAUUGGCGAGAGACCGAUAGCGAACAAGUACAGUGAUGGAAAGAUGAAAAGAACUUUGAAAAGAGAGUGAAAAAGUACGUGAAAUUGUUGAAAGGGAAGGGCUUGAGAUCAGACUUGGCAUUUUGCAUGUUGCUUCUUCGGGGGCGGCCUCUGCGGUUUGUCGGGCCAGCAUCAGUUUGGGCGGCAGGACAAUCGCGUGGGAAUGUGGCACGGCCUCGGCUGUGUGUUAUAGCCCGCGUGGAUACUGCCAGCCUAGACUGAGGACUGCGGUUUAUACCUAGGAUGUUGGCAUAAUGAUCUUAAGUCGCCCGUCUUGAAACCAACGGACAAAA
rnacentral:rRNA from 1 species